rnacentral:rRNA from 1 species
GCACCGGCUAACUCCGUGCCAGCAGCCGCGGUAAUACGGAGGGUGCGAGCGUUAAUCGGAAUUACUGGGCGUAAAGCGCAUGCAGGUGGUUUGUUAAGUCAGAUGUGAAAGCCCGGGGCUCAACCUCGGAAUAGCAUUUGAAACUAGGCAGACUAGAGUACUGUAGAGGGGGGUAGGAAUUUCAGGUGUAGCGGUGAAAUGCGUAGAGAUCUGAAGGAAUACCGGUGGCGAAGGCGGCCCCCUCGGACAGAUACUGACACUCAGAUGCGAAAGCGUGGGGAGCAAACAGGAUUAGAUACCCUGGUAG